ensembl:lncRNA
UGGGGUCACCAAGUGUCCCUAGGUCAUCCUCGGGGUCACCAAGUGUCCCUAGGUCAUCCUCGGGGUCCUGGAACCUUCCUUGGGUCACCCUCGGGGUCACCAGACCUUCCUUGGGUCACCCUUGGGGUCACCAGACCUUCCCUGGGUCACCCUUGGGGUCCUGGAACCGUCCCUGGGUCAUCUUUGGGGUCACCAAACCUUCCUUGGGUCAUCUUUGGGGUCCCCAAACCUUUCCUGGGUCAUCUUUGGGGUUCUGAAACCUCUUUUGGGGUCACCUUUGGGGUCCUGGAACCUUCCCUGGGUCACUCUUGGGGUCACCAAGUGUUCCCCAGGUCAUCUUUGGGGUCCUGGAACCUUCCUUGGGUCAUCCUUGGGGUCACCAGACCUUCCCUGGGUCAUCCUUGGGGUCCUGGAACCUUCCCUGGGUCAUCCUCGGGGUCACCAGACCUUCCUUGGGUCACCAGACCUUCCCUGGGUCACCCGUGGGGUCACCAGACCUUCCCUGGGUCAUCCUUGGGGUCACCAGACCUUCCCUGGGUCAUCCUUGGGGUCCUGGAACCUCUUUUGGGGUCCCCAGAGCUUCCCUGGGUCACUCUUGGGGUCCCCAAACCUUCCUUGGGUCAUCCUUGGGGUCCUCAAACCUUCCCUGGGUCACCUUUGGGGUCCCCAAACCUUCCCUGGGUCAUCCUUGGGGUCCUGAAACCUUCCCUGGGUCACCUUUGGGGUCCUCAAACCUUCCCUGGGUCACCAAACCUUCCCUGGGUCACCCUUGGGGUCACCAAACCUUCCUUGGGUCAUCUUUGGGGUUCUGAAACCUCUUUUGGGGUCACCAGAGCUUCCCUGGGUCACCCUCGGGGUCCCCAAACCUUCCUUGGGUCACCUUUGGGGUCCUGGAACCUUCCCUGGGUCACCUUUGGGGUCCUGGAACCUUCCCUGGGUCACCCUCGGGGUCCUCAAACCUCCCUUAGGUCACUCUUGGGGUCCCUAAACUUCCCUUGGGUCACUCUUGGGGUCCCCAAACCUUCCCCGGGUCACCUUUGGGGUCACCAGACCUUCCUUGGGUCAUCCUUGGGGUCCUGGAACCUCUUUUGGGGUUACCAAACCUUCCCCAAACCUUCCCUGGGUCACUCUUGGGGUCACCAAACCUUCCCUGGGUCACCUUUGGGGUCCCCAAACCUUCCCUGGGUCACCCUCGGGGUCCCCAAACCUUCCCUGGGUCACCUUUGGGGUCCUGGAACCUUCCCCGGGUCACCUUUGGGGUCACCAGACCUUCCUUGGGUCAUCUUUGGGGUCCUGGAACCUCUUUUGGGGUUACCAAACCUUCCCCAAACCUUCCCUGGGUCACCUUUGGGGUCCUGGAACCUUCCCUGGGUCACCUUUGGGGUCCCCAAACCUUCCCUGGGUCACCUUUGGGGUCCUCAAACCUUCCCUGGGUCACCUUUGGGGUCCCCAAACCUUUCCCUGCACCCCAAAACUUUCCCUGGCACUCCCAACGCUCUCAGCACCCCCAAACUCCCCUUUGGGGGUCCCAACGCUCCCCAUGGGACCCCCNUGAUGGAUUUUGGGGUGCUGUGUCCCCAGGACGGCUGGAGCUGGUCGGGGGGGGCUGGUGCAUGA